GAGCGGCCACGGCUGGGGUAGGGAGGCUGGGCCUCUGAGCCCUGCGCUUCCUUCUCUCAGCUGCUGGGCACACUGGUUGCCAAGGCCCGUGCUGCUGUCUCCUCCACCCGACUGGGUCCACCGAGGGCCGGCCUGAGCUGGCUGACCCUAGAGCAACACUGUCAGGCGAAGAAUCAUACCUGAAGCCACAGCCUCUCACCAUCCUACACAGCAAAAAUUCAGCAGCAGUGACACCGCCUGUGGCCUUGGGUCACCCUAACCAGCUACAGACUUGCCUGGCUAAAGGACGGUAUUCUUGUAGCCAAGGACCAGGUGAUUUCUUUUUGGUUAAAAGCCAGCAGUACAAACCCUUCAAGAUGGAAGAACAGUCUUCUGACAUAGAUGCCAAUACAAGAAACGGAACAAUGCCACCUUCCUGUGACUUUAGAGAGCUGAAGCAGCUGUAUAACCAAUGCCAUCUGAAUUCUCCCUCAGCCUUCCUGGUUGCAGCAAAUGAUGGUAGAAAAACAUCUUUUCUUAGCUGAACAGAAUAACCCAAUAUACAUAAUAAAA